GGCGGGGUGGUGGAAUUGGUAGACACGCGACGUUCAGAGCGUCGUGCCCUUGCGGCGUGCGAGUUCGAGUCUCGCCUUCGUCA
rnacentral:tRNA from 1 species